rnacentral:rRNA from 1 species
CCUACGGGGGGCAGCAGUGAGGAAUAUUGGUCAAUGGGCGCGAGCCUGAACCAGCCAAGUCGCGUGAGGGAAGACGGUCCUAUGGAUUGUAAACCUCUUUUGUCGGGGAGCAAAAGACGCCACGCGUGGCGUUCCGAGAGUACCCGAAGAAAAAGCAUCGGCUAACUACGUGCCAGCAGCCGCGGUAAUACGUAGGGGGCAAGCGUUAUCCGGAUUUACUGGGUGUAAAGGGAGCGUAGACGGCGAUGCAAGCCAGAUGUGAAAGCCCGCGGCUCAACUGCGGUAGUGCAUUUGGAACUGUAUGG